GAUGAACGCUGGCGGCGUGCCUAACACAUGCAAGUCGAACGGAAAGACGCUGACCUUGCUCCUCGAGUGUCAGCCGCGGGCGUAAGACUAACAUGCGUAUCACCCACCUAUGAGACUGGGAUCACUACGGGAAACCGGACCUAAUACCGGAUAAGAUAGUGAACCGGUGGGUUCGAUAGAUAGUUUCGGUUUUGGUGUCACUUAUAGCCGGUUCCGCGCUGCAUUAGCUAGUUGGUAAGGUAACGGCUUACCAGGGCGACGAUGCGUAGCCGACCUGACAGGGGGAUCGGCCACACUGGAACUGAGACACGGUCCAGACUCCUACGGGAGGCAGCAGUAGGGAAUCUUGGGCAAUGGGGGGAAGCCUGACGGAGCAACGCCGCGUGAGUGAUGAAGGUCUUCGGGUCGGAAAACGCUGUUAGUAGGGAAGAACAAAUGUGUUAGUAACUAAGCACGUAGUGACGGUACCUGAUGAAGAAGCACCGGCUAACUACGUG
rnacentral:rRNA from 1 species